UCUAGAACUAGAGAUAUGGGCUGAACACUGAAUAGUGUCUGGGCUGCAGGACAGAUUCCGACUUCUCCGUUGUUACUAAGAUUUGGACUUCCAAACAACAAAAUUGAUGUUGUACUCCUCAUGAAUGUUUUAGGCCUAUGUCUUAGCUUUCUAGC
rnacentral:pre_miRNA from 1 species